AAUGAACGCUGGCGGCAUGCCUUACACAUGCAAGUCGAACGGCAGCAUGACCUAGCUUGCUAGGUUGAUGGCGAGUGGCGAACGGGUGAGUAAUGCAUCGGAACGUGCCUUUUAGUGGGGGAUAACGUAGCGAAAGUUACGCUAAUACCGCAUAUUCUCUGAGGAGGAAAGCAGGGGACCUUCGGGCCUUGCGCUAGAAGAGCGGCCGAUGUCGGAUUAGCUAGUUGGUGAGGUAAAGGCUCACCAAGGCAACGAUCCGUAGCGGGUCUGAGAGGAUGAUCCGCCACACUGGGACUGAGACACGGCCCAGACUCCUACGGGAGGCAGCAGUGGGGAAUUUUGGACAAUGGGCGCAAGCCUGAUCCAGCCAUGCCGCGUGAGUGAAGAAGGCCUUCGGGUUGUAAAGCUCUUUCGGCUGGGAAGAAAUCGCACCCUCUAAUACAGGGUGUGGAUGACGGUACCAGCAUAAGGAGCACCGGCUAACUACGUG
rnacentral:rRNA from 1 species